rnacentral:rRNA from 1 species
UACGUAGGGGGCUAGCGUUGUCCGGAAUUAUUGGGCGUAAAGAGCUCGUAGGCGGUCUGUUGCGUCGGCUGUGAAAACCCGGGGCUCAACCCCGGGCCUGCAGCCGAUACGGGCAGACUAGAGUUCGGCAGGGGAGACUGGAAUUCCUGGUGUAGCGGUGAAAUGCGCAGAUAUCAGGAGGAACACCGGUGGCGAAGGCGGGUCUCUGGGCCGAUACUGACGCUGAGGAGCGAAAGCGUGGGGAGCGAACAGG